AGAGUUUGAUUCUGGCUCAGAUUGAACGCUGGCGGCGUGCUUAACACAUGCAAGUCGAACGCGAAAGGGGGCUUCGGCUCCCGAGUAGAGUGGCGCACGGGUGAGUAACGCGUGGAUAAUCUGCCCUCUUGUUCGGGAUAACUGCUGGAAACGGCAGCUAAUACCGGAUAAGCUCCCCCAAUUGUUUGGUGGAGGAAAGGAGGCCUCUUCAUGAAAGCUUCCUCGAGGGGAUGAGUCCGCGUCCCAUUAGCUAUUUGGUGAGGUAACGGCCCACCAAGGCAGCGAUGGGUAGCCGGUCUAAGAAGAUAACCGGCCACACUGGACUGGUAACACGGUCCAGACUCAUUCGGUAGGCAGCAGUGGGGAAUAUUGCGCAAUGGACGAAAGUCUGACGCAAGCGACGCCGCGUGAGGGAUGAAAGAUUUUCGGAUCGUAAACCUCUGUCAGGAGGGAAGAAAGCGCAUGGCGCCACUCAGCCAUGCGUUGGCGGUACCUCCAAAGGAAGCGCCGGCUAAUUCCGUGCCAGCAGCCGCGGUAAUACGGAGGGCGCGAGCGUUAAUCGGAAUUACUGGGCGUAAAGCGCGCGUAGGCUGUUGUAUAAGUUGGGGGUGAAAUCCCACGGCUCAACCGUGGAACAGCCCUUGAUACUGCGCGACUUGAAUCCGGGAGAGGGUGGCGGAAUUCCAGGUGUAGGAGUGAAAUCCGUAGAUAUCUGGAGGAACAUCAGUGGCGAAGGCGGCCACCUGGACCGGUAUUGACGCUGAGGCGCGAAAGCGUGGGGAGCAAACAGGAUUAGAUACCCUGGUAGUCCACGCUG
rnacentral:rRNA from 1 species